rnacentral:rRNA from 1 species
UUGCGGUUAAAAGCUCGUAGUUGGAUCUCGGCGAACAGGGGGCGGUUCGUUAUUUGACGGUACUGCCCCAUUUGUUCGUAUUUUUGCAAGAGGAUUGGGGGUCCCCUUUGUUGGGUGUCUCCGGUCGCUUGCAGGUUUACUUUGAAAAAAUUAGAGUGCUCAAAGCAGGCUUACACGCUUGAAUAUUCGUGCAUGGAAUAAUAGAACAGGAAGUCGUUUCUAUUUUGUUGGUUUUCGGAAAAUGACUUAAUGAUUAAUAGGGACAAUCGGGGGCAUUAGUAUUCAAACGACAGAGGUGAAAUUCUUGGACCGUUUGAAGACUAACUACUGCGAAAGCAUUUGCCAAGAGUGUUUUCAUUAAUCAAGAACGAAAGUUAGAGGUUCGAAGGCGAUCAGAUACCGCCCUAGUUCUAACCAUAAACGAUGCCAGCUAGCGAUCUGCGGGUGUGUAAAAACAAGACCCCGCAGGGAGCUUCCGGGAAACCAAAGCUUGUGGGUUCCGGGGGAAGUAUGGUUGCAAAGCUGAAACUUAAAGGAAUUGACGGAAGGGCACCACCAGGAGUGGAGCCUGCGGCUUAAUUUGACUCAACACGGGAAAUCUCACCAGGCCCGGACACCGGAAGGAUUGACAGAUUGAGAGCUCUUUCUCGAU